rnacentral:rRNA from 1 species
AUUGAACGCUGGCGGCAGGCCUAACACAUGCAAGUCGAGCGAGCGGCGGACGGGUGAGUAAUGCCUAGGAAACUGCCCGAUGGAGGGGGAUCACUACUGGAAACGGUAGCUAAUACCGCAUACCAUCGGAUGUGCCAAGAUGGGAUUAGCUAGUAGGUGGGGUAACGGAUCACCUAGGCGACGCUACCUAGCUGGUCUGAGGGGAUGACCAGCCACACUGGAACGGAGACACGGUCCGGACUCCUACGGGAGGCAGCAGUGGAGAAUAUUGCACAAGGGGCGCAAGCCUGAUGCAGCCAUGCCGCGUGUAUGAAGAAGGCCUUCGGGUUGUAAAGUACUUUCAGCGAGGAGGCGUUACUCGCAGAAGAAGCACCGGCUAACUCCGUGCCAGCAGCCGCGGUAAUUC